rnacentral:rRNA from 1 species
AUUGAACGCUGGCGGCAGGCCUAACACAUGCAAGUCGAUCGCGCGUCGGACUGGUGAGUAAUGUCUGGGAAACUGCCUGAUGGAGGGGGAUAACUACUGGAAACGGUAGCUAAUACUGAAUACCAUCAGCUGUGCCCACGUGGGAUUAGCUGGUGGGUGGGGUAACGGCUCACCUGGGCGACGAUCCCUAGCUGGUCUGAGAGGAUGACCAGCAACACUGGAACGUAGACACGGACCAGACUCCUACGUGAGGCAGCAGUGGGGAAGAUUGGACAAUGGGCGCAAGCCUGAUGCAGCCAUGCCGCGUGUGUGAAGAAGGCCGUCGGGUUGUAAAGCACUGUCAGCGGGGAGGCGUUACCCGCAGAAGAAGCACCGGCUAACUCCGUUGCAGCCGCCGCGGUAAUUC